rnacentral:rRNA from 1 species
GAUGAACGCUGGCGGCGUGCCUAAUACAUGCAAGUCGAGCGAACAGACGAGGAGCUUGCUCCUCUGACGUUAGCGGCGGACGGGUGAGUAACACGUGGAUAACCUACCUAUAAGACUGGGAUAACUUCGGGAAACCGGAGCUAAUACCGGAUAAUAUAUUGAACCGCAUGGUUCAAUAGUGAAAGACGGUUUUGCUGUCACUUAUAGAUGGAUCCGCGCCGCAUUAGCUAGUUGGUAAGGUAACGGCUUACCAAGGCAACGAUGCGUAGCCGACCUGAGAGGGUGAUCGGCCACACUGGAACUGGAACACGGUCCAGACUCCUACGGGAGGCAGCAGUAGGGAAUCUUCCGCAAUGGGCGAAAGCCUGACGGAGCAACGCCGCGUGAGUGAUGAAGGUCUUCGGAUCGUAAAACUCUGUUAUUAGGGAGGAACAAGUGUGUAAGUAACUAUGCACGUCUUGACGGUACCUAAUCAGAAAGCCACGGCUAACUACGUG